ACACUUCUCUUUGUUCAUCCCAUAUUCUAAGUUCACCCCAACUUCUAAUUUAAAUUUUCACAAUUUCUAAGCAAACCUCACUAUCUUCCCAAACUACCUCUAAAUACACACACCAGAAAAAUAAAGAGAUAAAAACACUGUUGCCAAGAAAAUAAAAAUGACAGCUGAUGAAAAUGGGGGAUAUUUAUUUGUUGCGAGGUUAGUAGAAGAGACAAUCUUGCACAAGGAAGAGCCCAAGGAGCUCAAAGUUUC
rnacentral:lncRNA from 1 species